UGAAGCAUGAAGUAAACCAACUCCCAAGAUCAGAUUUCCAAAGCCUUUCCCUUAUUUGGGAUGUGUCAGAGUUUCCUAAGAAUCUCAAACGGAUUCCGGGUAGUGCUUGCACCCAAAUAUAUUGCAUAAUUAGAUUACAGUGCAAUGUGGAAGGUCCAACCCUCAAAUGUCCAAGUUCAGAGGGAAACUCAAGGUUCCCAAGGCAGGGCUCAUAGGAAGGGGGCAGAACUUAGGGUCUAGGAGUAAGUGCAAGUGUAGUAAAAGGGGAAGAGUCAAGCUGGUGGUCAUGCCUAACAAUUUGGGAUGCUGGCACACCUUUGACCAACUUGUCAGUUCAAAUUGAGGAGUUAUGAUUUUUUGAAGGUCAGGUGCAGCCAUAGAUAGAAAUUUGGGUGUUGCUAGGCUAUUACUUAACUCAACACAUAUAGGGGAAUGGGGGUAUGAGGACCUGAAAGAGACAAGAGUAGUGUGGACACGUCCAGCAAUAGGGAAUGCUAACAUGCCCACAAUCGUGUUACACUAUUUAGAGACUAGGAUCCAGAAGAUCUGGUUUUAAUCUAUGGACAACAACUUGUAUAUUGUCAUGUUUUAACCAUAGCUCAAACACAUAAAGGGGUAGGGAGUAGGGAUUUAUUGCAUUUGAAGGAAAGUAAAGCAACCAGUAGCAUCUGAACAUCUCAACCUCUGCAGGUAACAUACAUAGAUAUAAAGAGUAUAUGUAAACACAUUGGGAUUAUGCUGGGAAUUGAGUUAAGACAUACCAGUUAAGCAACAAUCUUGUGAAAGACAAAGUGCCGACAAAGAAUACUUAAAAGAAAUUGUGAAAACUGUAAGUAUGAAGUUUGAAGUGUAUUCAGUUCUCUGUUUGUGAAAGGAGGGUCGGGUAUUCAUAGUCUGAAAAUAGGCAGAAGUAAGGGAAGAAUCAUGGUAAUUAUGGAACUGUGUAUCAAUUACAAUCAAUCAACAUAGGCAUUUCCUUUAAUUAAGGAGUUUAAACUCAAACGGUAAUGGACAACAAACAGUUAAGGAAAGAAACCAAGUGAACAGCUUGUGUAAAGUAGGAAAUUAGGGGUAAAUACAUAGGGGUCUAACUAAGGAAAGUAUCUUUAAAAUACACGGUUAUCCUAAAUAAGGUAAGAACACAGUAAUAAAUUAGUACAUAGUAAAUCAAGGAAUCAGGGACUCAAAAUUUACCAAUGAACCAGGUCAGAAUUAGGGGAAGAAAGGUUCACGUAGGAAAAAUCAUGAACAAUCAAAUAAACACCAUUAAAGGGAUUUAGAAUCAAUUAGUAGUUGGCAAAACCUCUUGAAAGAAGAAGUCCCAUAUAUAAGGUACACAAACAUGUGAGUCAAGAAGAGACUGUCGAGUUAUGUAAGAGAGAGGAGUUCAGAAUCAUAAAGACUCAAAAGUCAUGAGCAAAGAGAUACAAGUUCAAUUAGCAGACUCAUAGUGAGUCUGAGAGUCCAGGGUCCUAAAGAGGAGCCUUAACUCGAAAGAAUCAAAAUCCUCAAAGAAAACCCCCAAAUCUUAGGGUCUCAAAAUUAAAUCAAACAUGGAAUCAAGCCAUUUUAUUUAGAGUCUCUACAAAAUAUAUAUGAUAGCAUGUUGAAUGACAAAGGAAGAAGAAUCAUGAAGAACAUAUUCUGAGAAACUUGGAACCUAAACAAGUUUAGGAAGGCGAUAAUACAAUUUGAACACAAGUAGAUAAAGCAUGUAAGAACAUGAACAGAGUCGAGUAAACAAGAAUCAAAUAACUUAACGGUAAACACAUAUAGUAAAAUAGUAGAGAGAACAUAACAAAGAUUAACAAGAGUAACAUGCAAUCACAAUAGAAAGAUUCAAAGUACACAUCGGUGAAUACUGAUAAGAAAAACAGGAGAAACAUGCUUAGCAGAACCUACAACGCUUAAUACAAGGUAGACAAAGAACCAUAAGGACUUAGCAAGAAAAGUAUAGUAAAAAAACAAGAAUCGUCGGGAAAGGUAUACCAGGAAAGCAUAUAGGAAAACACAGUACGGUUAACAUACAAGCACAUGAUAAAAAUACAGUAGAAAAGUCUACAACAACAUAUUAUAGAAAAACACAGUAAAGCAUAGGACAACACAAAGAAGAAAAAAAUCAUAAAUCUCCUGAACAUUUUCCAGAAAACCCUAAAUCAGCAAGAAGGUUUUUUUAAAAGUAAUUUUAAAACAAAUAUUUAGGAAAAUCAUUUGAAAACUCAAGCAUAGCAUAGAUACACAAUGGAUCUAAAAAGAAUCGAAGAAAAACCUCGAAUAGCUAGGGUUCAUAGGAACCCUAGGGUGAGAAAGGCUUUGGAAAAGGUCUGAUCUAAGUCGGAUAAGGUUGGAAUCAGGCUCAGGAGGCUAGGAUAUGCCAGAGAAAAGCCUGGAGAUGGCCAAAAACCUUAAGUCGGCGAAGAUCUGGUCUCAAACCUUCAGGCAUCAUGCACACAGGAGUAAUAAGAGGUGAGUAUAUGUCAUCUAUGGCCUGAGAAGCCAUGGAUUCUGGAGGGGUUGUGGUCGGAAAGGCGGCAGAGUUCAUUGAAAAAGAGAGAACUAGAAGGUUCUGGAGAGAAGGGAGAGAUGAUAUAGAGAGAGAGACG
rnacentral:lncRNA from 1 species